GAGACGUGAUUUGUAAUUUUCUGUAUGGAAUUUCGAAACACUGAGUCAGAAGCAGUACCAGGUUAAAUUACUUCACCACGGGUCUACGAGCAGAAUCGCCGUUGAGAGCGUCUCUGCUGAAUGAGGAGCCUGCAGCUGGGUCGCUGGACGAACCUGCCUUGAUUCUCAAUCAUUCUGUUACGACAGGUUCUUCGGUCAUUUUUGGAGUCGACUCAUGGAACGAUCUCUCUUCCCCUUUCGUAAGGCAUCAAGCACUGCCACCGUCGUUGCGAACGCACACGAGCGCACACUGGGCCUUUGGAUGGAGGUGUGAAGCACACUGCCAGUCUAAGCACAGGAAACUAACGGAUUUCAUUGCCCAUUUGAUGGACUGGAGUUGACUCCGGAACCAAAACAGGCUUUUUGUUGUUUAAUUUUUGGCUUUUGCAUUAUAUUCUUCCUAUCUAAAUUUCUGUAGUUUAAAACAGCAAGUGCAGCACUCAGACGAUAGUUUGAUGUUUAUUUGUGGUUUUUUUCCUGUAAUUCAGUGUAAUUUUUGUGCUUGAAUAGAAGUAUGUGCAAAAGUACGAGUAA